rnacentral:rRNA from 1 species
UACGUAGGCAGCGAGCGUUGUUCGGAGUUACUGGGCGUAAAGGGUGUGUAGGCGGCCUUCUAAGUUUGGUGUGAAAUCUCCCGGCUCAACCGGGAGGGUGCGCCGAAAACUGGAAGGCUAGAGUGCGGGAUGGGAGAGUGGAAUUCCUGGUGUAGCGGUGAAAUGCGUAGAUAUCAGGAGGAACACCGGUGGUGCAGACGGCUCUCUGGACCGUAACUGACGCUGAAACACGAAAGCGUGGGUAGCAAACAGG